CUGGGCUAUGGAGACAUGUACCCCAAGACGUGGUCGGGGAUGCUGGUCGGGGCGCUGUGUGCCCUGGCGGGGGUGCUGACCAUCGCCAUGCCCGUGCCCGUCAUUGUCAACAAC
rfam:Callithrix jacchus chromosome 22, whole genome shotgun sequence